GCAUCGAUAGCUCAGUUGGCAGAGCGCCGGCAUGACUCGCCGGAGGCCCCAGGUUCGAUCCCUGGUCGAUGCA
rnacentral:tRNA from 1 species